rnacentral:rRNA from 1 species
GACGAACGCUGGCGGCGUGCUUAACACAUGCAAGUCGAACGGAAAGGCCCUGCUUUUGUGGGGUGCUCGAGUGGCGAACGGGUGAGUAACACGUGAGUAACCUGCCCUUGACUUUGGGAUAACUUCAGGAAACUGGGGCUAAUACCGGAUAGGAGCUCCUGCUGCAUGGUGGGGGUUGGAAAGUUUCGGCGAUUGGGGAUGGACUCGCGGCUUAUCAGCUUGUUGGUGGGGUAGUGGCUUACCAAGGCUUUGACGGGUAGCCGGCCUGAGAGGGUGACCGGCCACAUUGGGACUGAGAUACGGCCCAGACUCCUACGGGAGGCAGCAGUGGGGAAUAUUGCACAAUGGGCGGAAGCCUGAUGCAGCAACGCCGCGUGCAGGAUGACGGCCUUCGGGUUGUAAACCGCUUUCGCCUGUGACGAAGCGUGAGUGACGGUAAUGGGUAAAGAAGCACCGGCUAACUACGUG